CAUGGCUCAGGAUAAACGCUGGCGGCGCACAUAAGACAUGCAAGUCGAACGGAAGUCGUUAUAAAAAAGAUUGAAGAUUUAUCGGAUUGAAGUUUUAUAACAAUGGCUUUAGUGGCGGACUGGUGAGUAACGCGUGAGCAACCUGCCUGUUAGAGGGGAAUAACAGUGAGAAAUCAUUGCUAAUACCGCAUAUGCCAUAGUUACCACAUGGUAACAGUGGGAAAGGAGCAAUCCGCUAACAGAUGGGCUCGCGUCUGAUUAGAUAGCUGGUGGGGUAACGGCCUACCAAGUCGACGAUCAGUAGCCGGACUGAGAGGUUGAACGGCCACAUUGGGACUGAGAUAUGGCCCAGACUCCUACGGGAGGCAGCAGUCGGGAAUAUUGCGCAAUGGAGGAAACUCUGACGCAGUGACGCCGCGUAUAGGAAGAAGGUCUUCGGAUUGUAAACUAUUGUCGUUAGGGAAGAGAAAGGACAGUACCUAAGGAGGAAGCUCCGGCUAACUACGUGCCAGCAGCCGCGGUAACACGUAGGGAGCAAGCGUUAUCCGGAUUUAUUGGGUGUAAAGGGUGCGUAGACGGGAAAUUAAGUUAGUUGUGAAAUCCCUCGGCUCAACUGAGGAACUGCAACUAAAACUGGUUUUCUUGAGUGUUGGAGAGGAAAGCGGAAUUCCUAGUGUAGCGGUGAAAUGCGUAGAUAUUAGGAGGAACACCAGUGGCGAAGGCGGCUUUCUGGACAAUAACUGACGUUGAGGCACGAAAGUGUGGGGAGCAAACAGGAUUAGAUACCCUGGUAGUCCACACCGUAAACGAUGAAUACUAGGUGUAGGUUAUGUCAUGUAAUCUGUGCCGUCGCAAACGCAAUAAGUAUUCCACCUGGGGAGUACGGCCGCAAGGUUGCAACUCAAAUGAAUUGACGGA
rnacentral:rRNA from 1 species